AGCAUGUCUAGGUGACGUCCUGCCCCAGGCAGUCGCUCCAGUGUGAUGAGACGGGGCGACCCAUCCCUCACACAACCCGGAUGGUGUUGCACCGCCUCUGAUGGACUCCCGGCAAUAACCAGUGUGACAAAGGCUUCCUAUGCCAAUAAAGUCCUUCAAAUUGAAGAGAAACAGGUGAGAGAGAAAGAGUGCAGCAGAGAGAGAGAGAGAGAGAGAGAGAAUCGGCAGCAUCGGAUGGUAAAGCGAUACCUGUGGCCCUGAGACGAGACGUCGCCACGGCAACCCCUAGUCAGUCCAUCAGUGCCACCUCCAGGUUGAAGAGUCUCACUACACACAUUAAGGGCAAAAGGCCCACCACCUCCCCACCACGACCACCAGAUGAAAGGCCGUCGCCUGAACCCUUUUGUCACACUGGACUACCUGCACCACAACAUCUGGCUCCAGAGACCAA